GAUGUUAAAAUUCUGGUCGCUUAA
rnacentral:siRNA from 1 species